rnacentral:sRNA from 1 species
UUGAACCACAUGGCCUCGGAUUUACUGAGC